UUGCAGCCAUUUAAGCUGACUGGGCAUCUUUCUUCUUGGGGCCCCAGGGUGCAAUACUUGCAAACAGCAGCAUCCUCAGUGAUAACUCAAGUGUUGCUUGUUUAGAUUACCCUAAGGGUCCUUUGAAAACAGGA
ensembl:snoRNA SNORA70 Small nucleolar RNA SNORA70